CUAACCCCCGUGGUGCCAAUUAUCUCCAUGGCCUCUAGUAAGCAGGGCACGGAGAGUCACUUGAACAAGCUCAGACAAGAAUCAGCAAGGAAUAGCAUCUGCAGCUGUACCUCGGCCUGUCUGCUCUGCUCCAUGCGUCGAUAUCCGCAUAUGGCAAGUCGUAGGGAACUUUGCUGCCUAUGAAGCAAGUGGUGACAGGAACCUGGACUUACUGGUUUUAAGAACUGGAAUAUUCACUUGGAAACCACUGCAAACAACAGAGAUGCUGUUUGAUCUGUACCUUAUAGUACAGCACUGAGAUGCUAGUCUGAGGAGACAGGAUCUUAGAAAGAGUCAACAGCCUUGGGAGACUACAG
rnacentral:lncRNA from 1 species